GGAAUGUAGACGAAAAUUGAAAUACCCUAAAAAACCUAGGAGGACCGAGAGAAGUGAGGUUGAAUGGGGAACGAACCCUAGAUAAUGAGGAAAACCUAAUCUAAACCGACUAAUCGGAGGAAAUGAACUUUUAAUCGGUGGAAAUGGUUUGGAUCGGUUCAAAAGUGAUUUUAAUCGGCUAGAAUCAAAGAAAACGAUGAAAGAUGGAGAAACCCUAGCGGAGGCCAGAGUUCUAAUCGGUGUAAAUGGAAGAAAUGGCUAAAACGAGAAGAAAAUGGAAGGAAAAUGUAGAUCUGUGAAUAAAGAGGCUUACUGAGAUGAAGAACUGGCUGGUGACGGAGACGAGCUCUUGAGAGAAAGUCUCUUAUGUGCUUGAGAGGAAGAUGUGGUCGAAAGGUAAUCUGAGAAUGUGAAAAUGAAAGGCGCGAGUGGAAAAUGAGGUGAUGCGCUGACAAAGCCAAGGCGUUGACGCAUGGUUGAGAUGUGGCGGUGAGAGAGUGGAUCAGCGUGGAUGAGUGAGAAAGCACCGUGGAAAAUUGGAGAAAAGGAAAAUGGAGGAGAGUGUGCUUUGGAAGGUGGCUAGAGGGAGUCUUUGGACUCUCUAGCGUUGGACUUUCAAGGAAGAAUAUUUUUCUGACUUAGAAAAGUCUAUUCUCAUAUUUAUCUCAAAAGUGAAAAUACAAGAGAGGCUCUUGGGUAUUUAUAGUGACCCAAGCUCCUUGCAAGCUAAGCUACAAAUACAAUGAAAUGUAAAAAUACGAUAAAAGAGGACUGUGUUUGGAAGGAUUCCAUCAGUUUAUAUCUACUGUAUGCACGCUAAAUGUUUUUGUGUGAUAAAACCACUAGCACAAAGCAACUCUGUAUGAAAUAAUCGAUUACAAUGAUG
rnacentral:lncRNA from 1 species